rnacentral:rRNA from 1 species
UACGAAGGGAGCUAGCGUUGUUCGGAAUUACUGGGCGUAAAGGGCGCGUAGGCGGGUUUCCAAGUCGGGGGUGAAAUUCCAGGGCUCAACCCUGGGACGGCCUUCGAUACUGGGAGCCUGGAGAUCGGGAGAGGUGAGUGGAAUUCCGAGUGUAGAGGUGAAAUUCGUAGAUAUUCGGAGGAACACCAGAAGCGAAGGCGGCUCACUGGCCCGAGACUGACGCUGACGGCGCGAAAGCGUGGGGAUCAAACAGGG